GAGUUUUUCUUUCAAUAGGAAAUUAAACAAAGCUGUGAACAACUGAAGAGAAGGAGCGUGGAGUCCUCUCCCAAGGAGAGCCUGAGUAGCCAGCACAGACUGAUUGGCUGUCCUCCACUUUCCCCAGAAAAACUUAAAGCAGGGUGACACCAUCUCCAGCUCCAGGGGCAAAUCAUAUUUGAUGGUACUUUUGGAAUGGAUGCUUUCAAGUGAGACUGAUGAUUCAACUGGUCUCCAGAAUCAGGCCCUGGGCUGAAGGCUGUGCUAAACCACUGAGCCACCUG